CACCACCCCGUUUUGAGCACCCCAACUCUGUCCCCUCAAGAUUUCACCUCUUGUCUCACCACCUCAUUUUGAGCACCCCCAAUUCUUUCCCCUCCACCACCCCAAGUUUUCACCUCCUGCCUCAUCAUCCCGUUUUGAGCACCGCCAACUCUGUCCCCUCUGCACCCCAAGAUUUCACCUCUUGUCUCAUUAGCCCGUUUUGAGCACCCCCAACUCUGUCCCCUCAAGAUUUCACCUCUUGUCUCACCACCCCGUUUUGAGCACCCCAACUCUGUCCCCUCUCCCCGCAGGUUGGCCCUGGGGGACAGCGGGGAGCUGAGCGUCGAUGGCCUCUGCACCCUGGGGGAGGCCGAGGGGCAGCUGCUGGAAGGGGCUGGCCCCGAGCCGGGGCUCAGGAACGCGGGGAGCAGCCUCUGCCUGGCCAAGUACCUGCUGGGGGUCCUGGGGGACCCCUUCUGCGCCGCCGUCCGCAGGGACAGGGAGACGUGGCCGGGAGCCCCCGGCGGGCCCGGGGGUAAGCGGGGACCAGGGUGGGGGUGACACUGGGGACACUGGGGACACUGGGGACACUGGGGACACUGGGGACACGGGGGACACUGGGGACACUGGGGACACUGGGGACACGGGGGACACUGGGGACACUGGGGACACGGGGGACACGGGGGACACUGGGGACACGGGGGACACUGGGGACACUGGGGACACUGGGGACACUGGGGACACGGGGAGGCUGAGGAUGUGUUUCCCGCAGGAGUGACGGGCUGGAGGCGGGGGGAAGGAGCCCCCCAGCUCUGUGACGCUUGCCAGCGUGGCUUCUUCAACUCCCACUGGAGCUGCGCCAGAUGUGGCUUCCAGCUGUGCCCCGACUGCCACCGCAGCAGGCGGGAGGAGAGUGGCCCUGGUAUGGGGACAGGGAGGGGUGGAAAAGGGGGUGUCAGCCCCGGGGGGCUCAGUGGGGACGAGCGCAGCCUCUCUGUGACACAGAGGGUCCAGCGCUGCCACCGGAGUGCACCCCCGGGCGGGACCACCGCGUGUCAACCCUGGUCCCCACGCAGUUCGUCCCCACCUGUGUCCUGACCCGGCUCUGGAAGCUCCUGCACGAGGUCAGGGUCAAGUUUGGCAUCGAGUCCCACUGUCCCUGCGGGGAGGGGGCUGCGGAGCAGAGCCUGGCGGAGCCCCCGGGCAGGCAGGAGCCGCCGGGGGCCGCGGCGCCCACCCUGCCCCUCCGCAGCCACGGCCCCGCCGACCCCGCCCGGCCCAUCAAGGAAGGUAGGGCCGGCUGCGACCCCCCCGCCGCGGGCACGGCCCCGCUCCGGGGGGGUCAGGGAUGCCGCACCCCGUCCCCUUUUGGGGUGCCGGGUAGGGGGUGA
rnacentral:lncRNA from 1 species